rnacentral:rRNA from 1 species
GUAGGUGGCAAGCGUUGUCCGGAAUUAUUGGGCGUAAGGCGCGCGCAGGUGGGUUCUUUAAGUCUGAUGUGAAAGCCCCCGGGCUCAACCGGGGAGGGUCAUUGGAAACUGGGGAACUUGAGUGCAGGAGAGGAAAGUGGAAUUCCACGUGUAGCGGUGAAAUGCGUAGAUAUGUGGAGGAACACCAGUGGCGAAGGCGACUUUCUGGCCUGUAACUGACACUGAGGCGCGAAAGCGUGGGGAGCAAACAGGAUUAGAUACCCUGGUAGUCCACGCCGUAAACGAUGAGUGCUAAGUGUUGGGGGGUUUCCGCCCCUCAGUGCUGCAGCUAACGCAUUAAGCACUCCGCCUGGGGAGUACGGUCGCAAGACUG